GAUGAACGCUGGCGGCGUGCCUAAUACAUGCAAGUCGAGCGAACAGAUAAGGAGCUUGCUCCUUUGACGUUAGCGGCGGACGGGUGAGUAACACGUGGAUAACCUACCUAUAAGACUGGGAUAACUUCGGGAAACCGGAGCUAAUACCGGAUAACAUAUUGAACCGCAUGGUUCAAUAGUGAAAGGCGGCUUUGCUGUCACUUAUAGAUGGAUCCGCGCCGUAUUAGCUAGUUGGUAAGGUAACGGCUUACCAAGGCAACGAUACGUAGCCGACCGGAGAGGGUGAUCGGCCACACUGGAACGGAGACACGGUCCAGACUCCUACGGGAGGCAGCAGUAGGGAAUCUUCCGCAAUGGGCGAAAGCCUGACGGAGCAACGCCGCGUGAGUGAUGAAGGUCUUCGGAUCGUAAAACUCUGUUAUCAGGGAAGAACAAAUGUGUAAGUAACUGUGCACAUCUUGACGGUACCUGAUCAGAAAGCCACGGCUAACUACGUG
rnacentral:rRNA from 1 species